AAUGAAACUUCCGUGUCAGCGGCUUGCUUGAAUGCGAGAUAUGGUCGUUUCGGGCUGGAAUUUAUGUCCGUUACGCCAUAU
rnacentral:sRNA from 1 species